CCCAGAAGGAUGAAUUCAAUGUCUGCCCCUCAGAGCUCUGUCUUCCUCCCCAGAAAGGAUAAUAUGGGUUCUACCUCCAUUGCAGACAUUUGACAACCCAAAUCAGAAUGGGUUCUGCUAGGCUGUAGCCUUUGAUUCUUUGACACAGUUCAGUUCAGGUUUCUUUCUGCCCUAUGAGCCCCUGCCUAAGCAAAACUGGACAUUUUCUUCCACCCUCCUGGCUGGUAAUCCGUGUUUAUAUAUUCUAGCAAUACUAAUAGUUUAUUAUUUAGAGAUGUAUAUUUGCAUCCUAUUUUUUACCUUUUUGACUUUCCAGAAUGCAUUCCAGUUUCAUUUAUUUCUCUAGCAGGUCUCAGAAUUUUUAUGGUAAGAUCAGCUGUUUAUAAGCAUGUAUUCCUUUCAUCAGUAGAGAGAUUCUUAUAAAAGUGCUUCUUAAUGAUUUCCUUAGUCUGCAAUUGGACUGACAUGUGUUCACAAAUAAUAAUGCUAAGCGGGGCACUAUACAAAGAAAGUUAAAGGUCUUAGAUGUCCUUUUUGUUUUUAACAGAAUCAUCAAAAAUAAAAGUAAGACAGCCUUUCAGGAUUGAUAAUGGUAAAGUAAGAAGCUGCUGUUUUGCACUGGCACACUCUACUUGGCUCAUAGAACUUGUUCAGCAUUCUUGGAUCAUGUGAGUUAGAUUUAUUUUUCCUUCUCCUCAUCAGGGAAACUGAUAGAUUAAAUAGUUUCGGGAAUUUUCCCAAGGUCUAAUGUCUUACGUUGAGCUAUUAAACAGAGCACUGA
rnacentral:lncRNA from 1 species